GACGAACGCUGGCGGCGUGCCUAAUACAUGCAAGUUGAGCGAUGAAGAUUGGUGCUUGCACCAAUUUGAAGAGCAGCGAACGGGUGAGUAACGCGUGGGGAAUCUGCCUUUGAGCGGGGGACAACUUUUGGAAACGAAUGCUAAUACCGCAUAAUAACUUUAAACAUAAGUUUUAAGUUUGAAAGAUGCAAUUGCAUCACUCAAAGAUGAUCCCGCGUUGUAUUAGCUAGUUGGUGAGGUAAAGGCUCACCAAGGCGAUGAUACAUAGCCGACCUGAGAGGGUGAUCGGCCACAUUGGGACUGAGACACGGCCCAAACUCCUACGGGAGGCAGCAGUAGGGAAUCUUCGGCAAUGGACGAAAGUCUGACCGAGCAACGCCGCGUGAGUGAAGAAGGUUUUCGGAUCGUAAAACUCUGUUGGUAGAGAAGAACGUUGGUGAGAGUGGAAAGCUCAUCAAGUGACGGUAACUACCCAGAAAGGGACGGCUAACUACGU
rnacentral:rRNA from 1 species